ACCAAGAGUUGCUUCAUUAGGACAAAAGAUGAUCCUAUCAUCCAAGAAAUUGCCAAGGAUUUAGGAGAUCUUUGUCAGGAACUGAGGUCAAAGACCAAAUAUUGGAACAGAAGAUUCUCUUAGUACCCCUAUCUAUAAAAGUUUCAGGAGCCAUAUGUCAAGAACUGAAGGAAAAAAACAAAUAGAUAUUUCUUAUUAUAUUACAACACUACAGAUAUUCAACAAGGGCAGUCCGGAACAAAAUUUUAAAAAAUAUAUCUGAAAAUACGAAGAAUCAAGAAUAGUGAAGAUACCAUUAGAGAAGAAUAACAGAGCUAAUGAACUUUUCUUAAUCACGAGAUUUGUCAUCAAGGAAUUUGGAAGAAAUUUAUUUGAAUCCUCAUGGAUGACUUUGAAGGAUUCAAGACCUCAGUGGAUGAAGUAACUGCAGAGGUGGUGGAAAUAGCAAGAGAAGUAAAAUUAAAAGUGAAGUCUGAAGAUGUGACUGAAUUGCAGCAAUCUUAUCAUAAUAUUUGAAUGGAUGAGGAGUUGCUUCUUCCAGACAAGUCAAGGCUUCUUGAGAUGGAAUCUACUUCUGAUGAAGAUGCUGUGAAUAUUGUUGAAAUGAUAACAAAAGAUUUAUAAUGUUACAUACACUAUAAUAGAGCAAUAGCAGGGUUUGAGAGGAUUGAUUCCAAUUUUAAAAGAAGUUCUACUGUGGGUAAAAUACUAUGAACCAGCACUAAGUACUACAGGGCAACCUCUUGUAAAAGGAAGUGUCAAUGGUGCAGUAACUUCAUUGUCUGAUGGUAAAAAAUUGCCAAAGCCACCACAGCCUUCAGCAACAAAUACACUGAUCAUUUACCAGGAAUCAACAUCAAGUGGGUUUACUGCUUAUCCCAAGCAGGUGUUGAUGGAUUAGGACAUUCCUCUCUGGCUGAUUCCUGAUUAAAUUUGGACAAAGGACCUGACAGCUGUCAUGUCUCUGUUUCCCAUAACUCUUCCCUCAAAUCAGAAAGCACAGAGUCUGCUACAUGAGAAAAGUGUGGAGAGCCAUCUUGUGCAGCCCAUACCUAUUGCUUCAUUAGGAAUUUCAGAUGACCAGUUGACAAAGGAAGAGGAGACUUGAGCCUGGUUUACACUUGGUCCUAUGUGACAUGCUGGCACUCCUGAAAGUGUACAGCUGAAGCACUAGAGCCCCUUUCUGGGAUAUCCCUGAAGGACACUGAUGAAAGGAAAGCCUUCCAGUGAGCAGAAAUACCUUAUAUGACUCUGGGGAAAUCCGUAAUACCAUCUAUAUAAGUAAAAUUUAGAAAAUAAAAUAAAAAUGUAACAUAAAAAUAUAAA